UGGGGAAUAUUGCACAAUGGGCGCAAGCCUGAUGCAGCCAUGCCGCGUGUGUGAAGAAGGCCUUCGGGUUGUAAAGCACUUUCAGCGAGGAGGAAGGUGGUGAACUUAAUACGUUCAUCAAUUGACGUUACUCGCAGAAGAAGCACCGGCUAACUCCGUGCCAGCAGCCGCGGUAAUACGGAGGGUGCAAGCGUUAAUCGGAAUUACUGGGCGUAAAGCGCACGCAGGCGGUUUGUUAAGUCAGAUGUGAAAUCCCCGGGCUCAACCUGGGAACUGCAUUUGAAACUGGCAAGCUAGAGUCUCGUAGAGGGGGGUAGAAUUCCAGGUGUAGCGGUGAAAUGCGUAGAGAUCUGGAGGAAUACCGGUGGCGAAGGCGGCCCCCUGGACGAAGACUGACGCUCAGGUGCGAAAAGCGUGGGGAGCAAAACAGGAUUAGAUACCCUGGUAGUCCACGCUGUAAAACGAUGUCGAUUUUGGAGGUUGUGCCCUUGAGGCGUGGCUUCCGGAGCUAACGCGUUAAAUCGACCGCCUGGGGAGUACGGCCGCAAGGUUAAAACUCAAAUGAAUUGACGGGGUC
rnacentral:rRNA from 1 species